GGGAUGAGCUCAAAUUUUGAAUCUGGCGGUCUUUCGGCCGUCCGAGUUGUAAUCUAGAGAAGCGUCUUCCGCGCUGGACCGUGUACAAGUCUCCUGGAAGGGAGCGUCAUAGAGGGUGAGAAUCCCGUCUCUGACACGGACCACCAGUGCUAUGUGAUGCGCUCUCGACGAGUCGAGUUGUUUGGGAAUGCAGCUCAAAUCGGGUGGUAAAUUCCAUCUAAAGCUAAAUACAGGCGAGAGACCGAUAGCGAACAAGUACCGUGAGGGAAAGAUGAAAAGAACUUUGGAAAGAGAGUUAAACAGUACGUGAAAUUGCUGAAAGGGAAACGCUUGAUGUCAGUCGCGUCGGCCGGGGAUCAGCCUUGCUUCUCGCUGGGUGUAAUUCCUGGUCGACGGGUCAGCAUCGGUUUCGAUCGUCGUACAAGGGCGAAGGGAACGUGGCACUCUUCGGGGUGUGUUAUAGCCUUUCGUCGCAUGCGUCGGUCGGGACCGAGGACCUCAGCACGGCUUCCGCUUGUGCUUAGGAUGCUGGCAUAAUGGCCUUAAGCGACCCGUCUUGAAACACGGACCAAGGAGUCUAACAUGCCUGCGAGUGUUUGGGUGGCAAACCCGAGCGCGUAAUGAAAGUGAAAGUUGAGACCUCUGUCGUGGAGAGCAUCGACGCCCGGACCUGAGUCUUUGACGACGGAUCUGCGGUAGAGCAUGUAUGUUGGGACCCGAAAGAUGGUGAACUAUGCCUGAAUAGGGUGAAGCCAGAGGAAACUCUGGUGGAGGCUCGUAGCGAUUCUGACGUGCAAAUCGAUCGUCGAAUUUGGG
rnacentral:rRNA from 1 species